GGAGGAGGAGGAGGAAGGCAAAAGCUGCCCCUGACUUUCAGGACGUGUUAUUGUCUUCUCUUCUGCUGCACAAUGGCUGCAGCACCCAGAAGGAGACGGUCCAAUUUUUUGAUGGAGCAGUCUUGAUGUCAUCCUGCCCCUGACCUCUUCGUCCAACUCCAAAUGGCUCUUGGACACGUUCACUGCCACGUGGACAGUCGGAGCUUGUCAAACUCUGGCUUGGUGGAGUUUCUGUCAGACACUUUUGGCCAUGUGGCAAAGCAGGAUGAUGCCCAGAAACAGGAAUGGAAUACAGAACUAAAUACAAGAGAACUGACCAGACAACGGGGAACACGUGGCGGCGCAAGGAAGCCGAUUGGUUGACGCUAACGAGAACAGCUGGACGCAAAGCCCAAACGAGCCAUAACAAAAUGGUCAGGAGGAAAAAUGGCACCAAAUGGAGAAAAACGCAAACCGUGACAAGCAAUUGAACGGAAGAUUCUUGGACCAAGUGAAUGUGUCGGGAUCUCAUUGGAAGAUUGACCGACCAUCUGCGCGAUGAGCAAUGCAGCCGCGGCGGGCAGGCUCAGCAGGCAGUCCAGGAUUUCCAGAAGAAGAUUCUGCAUCCUGCUUUGCGAACAUCAGGACCGGCUCUCCUCUCCAGUCCUCCUUCCUCCUCAUUCUCCUCCGG